rnacentral:rRNA from 1 species
CCUACGGGUGGCUGCAGUAGGGAAUCUUCCACAAUGGGCGAAAGCCUGAUGGAGCAACGCCGCGUGGGUGAAGAAGGUCUUCGGAUCGUAAAACCCUGUUGUUAGAGAAGAAAGUGCGUGAGAGUAACUGUUCACGUUUCGACGGUAUCUAACCAGAAAGCCACGGCUAAAUACGUGCCAGCAGCCGCGGUAAUACGUAGGUGGCAAGCGUGAUCCGGAUUUAUUGGGCGUAAAGGGAACGCAGGCGGUCUUUUAAGUCUGAUGUGAAAGCCUGCGGCUUAACCGGAGUAGUGCAUUGGAAACUGGGAGACUUGAGUGCAGAAGAGGAGGGUGGAACUCGAGGUGUAGCGGUGAAAUGCUUAGAUAUAUGGAAGAACACCGGUUGCGAAAGCAGCUCUCUGGUCUGUAACUGACGCUGAGGUUCGAAAGCGUGGGUAGCAAACAGGAUUAGAUACCCGGGUAGUC